UACGUAGGGGGCAAGCGUUGUCCGGAUUUACUGGGCGUAAAGAGCGUGUAGGCGGCCAUACAGGUCCGUUGUGAAAACUGGAGGCUCAACUUCCAGACGUCGACGGAAACCGUGUGGCUAGAGUCCGGAAGAGGAGAGUGGAAUUCCUGGUAUAGCGGUGAAAUGCGCAGAUAUCAGGAAGAACACCAAUGGCGAAGGCAGCUCUCUGGGACGGUACUGACGCUGAGACGCGAAAGCGUGGGGAGCGAACAGG
rnacentral:rRNA from 1 species